CCACUAGAUAGCGGACUAACGCGCGCUGCUGUUCAGUCAGAAUUCAGAACAGAAGAAGAAAAAGAGAGCUUGCCUGCCCGCUGCUCGUUGGUGUCCUUGCAGUUAUAUAUCUUGUGUUUUCACCUCUGUAUUCUCCUGUCUGUCUGAAUGUGGUGAUCCAAGACACUUUGAACAAACCGCUUCCUCGAAUCAUCCUGUGUUUGGAAAUUGGAAUUUCAUAUUAAAAGAAGUCAUGUUUCGAAGAAGAAUACCCUUUGCAGAUGUCCUCUUCGCCACACUGGUUGGAGUCGCUGGUGGUGUUUAUAUCUUCAGCCCUGUUUUUGCACCUCAACUGGAGCCGAAGACCUCAGAACAACAAAACCAGGAUGUGCCACAGAAACCAAAAGAAACAGACUUAUAUAUUUCACCCCUUCAAGGAAAUACUUCACAGACAGAAACCAGAAGAUCAACAUAAGAGGCUGCAGGCUGAACCAAAGGCCUGCACGGAUUUAUGCUUCUUUGGGGUCCUUUGUGUGAUUGUUCAUUGACAAAAUAAAACAUUUAAUAAUUUCACGUCUUGAAUAAUCAUCUAUUUCAAAAUGAUGUGUCAAAAGUUUUGUUUUAUAUGUUUGUUUUUAUCUCCAAUCAUUUCAAAGAGAAACUCACAUUCAUUAAAUCACUUAGCUUACACAAACCCUCAAUGCUAUGUGAUUUAUUGAAUAUAUAGAGAAAUUAUGUUGCAUUGUGGCUUUAUGAAAACAAAAAAGCUUAAUAUUUGUCUAAAUAUGCCAAUAAAUACGAUUUAAAGCCCUGCGGUGCUGUAAAGUAAAAACUUUAUUUGUAUAGUGCCUCUUUUGCAAAAUUGUAUUCAAAGUGCUAAAAAUUACAAUGAAAAUACAACAAUACAAGAAACAAUGCACAGUACAAUACUUUAGUCAUGGACUCCCUCUGAGAUUUACAUUGCAACAGGGAUUAACUCUAAAAAUGGUCCACAUUUUGUUCUU